rnacentral:rRNA from 1 species
AUCCUGGCUCAGGAUGAACGCUAGCUACAGGCUUAACACAUGCAAGUCGAGGGGCAGCAUGGUCUUAGCUUGCUAAGGCCGAUGGCGACCGGCGCACGGGUGAGUAACACGUAUCCAACCUGCCGUCUACUCUUGGACAGCCUUCUGAAAGGAAGAUUAAUACAAGAUGGCAUCAUGAGUCCGCAUGUUCACAUGAUUAAAGGUAUUCCGGUAGACGAUGGGGAUGCGUUCCAUUAGAUAGUAGGCGGGGUAACGGCCCACCUAGUCUUCGAUGGAUAGGGGUUCUGAGAGGAAGGUCCCCCACAUUGGAACUGAGACACGGUCCAAACUCCUACGGGAGGCAGCAGUGAGGAAUAUUGGUCAAUGGGCGAGAGCCUGAACCAGCCAAGUAGCGUGAAGGAUGACUGCCCUAUGGGUUGUAAACUUCUUUUAUAAAGGAAUAAAGUCGGGUAUGGAUACCCGUUUGCAUGUACUUUAUGAAUAAGGAUCGGCUAACUCCGUGCCAGCAGCCGCGGUAAUACGGAGGAUCCGAGCGUUAUCCGGAUUUAUUGGGUUUAAAGGGAGCGUAGAUGGAUGUUUAAGUCAGUUGUGAAAGUUUGCGGCUCAACCGUAAAAUUGCAGUUGAUACUGGAUAUCUUGAGUGCAGUUGAGGCAGGCGGAAUUCGUGGUGUAGCGGUGAAAUGCUUAGAUAUCACGAAGAACUCCGAUUGCGAAGGCAGCCUGCUAAGCUGCAACUGACAUUGAGGCUCGAAAGUGUGGGUAUCAAACAGGAUUAGAUACCCUGGUAGUCCACACGGUAAACGAUGAAUACUCGCUGUUUGCGAUAUACAGCAAGCGGCCAAGCGAAAGCGUUAAGUAUUCCACCUGGGGAGUACGCCGGCAACGGUGAAACUCAAAGGAAUUGACGGAA